CCUCUCUCUCUCUCUCUCUCUCUCCAUCUCUCUUCCCCUCUCUCUCCGUGCGUCAGUUUGCUUGUAUCCGCCGGGACAGCGCGAGGAGCGGCGGAGGUGGAGGAGGAGAUAAAGCUGCUGCUGCUUCAUCACCGGAGCUUUUCAUUGAAAUCUUUUUUCCACCACUUUAACUGGACUAACAGGCUUGACUGUGCGCGCGGACUCUCAUCAGCAUCACGGUGUCCAUUUCACGUGUGCGUGCUGAUCCGGUACAAGCCGCGGCGCGCGGCGCGCUUACCUCGCGCUCUCCUUCUCCCCCUCAUAUAUUUAUAAUAUCUACAUUUUAACUGUGUCAACCUGCUUCGCGAGAACACGUUUCUUCUUCUUCUUCUUGCUCAGUGGGAAUAACACGGUGAAGGAAAGUGAGCAGAGACAGUGCAUGCGUCACUGAGCGCGAGGCUGCGAACGCGCCUUUUCCUCUCGUGCUUUUUCGCUUUUCAUCUCCAACAACAACAUCAACAACACAAGAUUACAAAGUGGAAGUGGACUUGUUGUUGUUGUUAUUCUGAGGGAAACACGCGGCUGCAUGGCAGUGGCCGCAAACACGCGCACUGUGGCAGCGGAGGAUCCACGCGCCGGGACGCACAGCUGCUGUCCACUCCUGAACCUCUCUGACGCUUCGGUGUGAGACUCCGCCCUGCAGCACACCUGCCAGCACAGCUCUGGGAGCACAGAAGACGAUGACCCGACGUCUCCUGAGAGCAGCCGUUCUUCACUGCUGAAACCACUCACGUCGGUGGAGUCCCACUACCCGUCUCUCUCUCUCUC